AUACGAAGGGUGCGAGCGUUAAUCGGAAUUACUGGGCGUAAAGCGCGCGUAGGCGGUUGGAUAAGUCGGAUGUGAAAGCCCCGGGCUCAACCUGGGAAUUGCAUUCGAAACUGUCCGGCUAGAGUAUGGUAGAGGGAAGCGGAAUUCCACAUGUAGCGGUGAAAUGCGUUGAUAUGUGGAGGAACACCAGUGGCGAAGGCGGCUUCCUGGACCAAUACUGACGCUGAGGUGCGAAAGCGUGGGGAGCAAACAGGAUUAGAUACCCUAGUAGUCC
rnacentral:rRNA from 1 species